AUUGCCUGCAAGUGAAUACAUAGCUUGUUGGCGGCAGACGCGGGGAACUGAAACAUCUCAGUACCCGCAGGAAGAGAAAGAAAACUCGAUUCCCAUAGUAGCGGCGAGCGAAGCGGGAAGAGCCCAAACCGAGAAGCUUGCUUCUCGGGGUUGUAGGACUGGACAUUGGAGUUACCAAAGUUCGACGUAGUCGAAGUCAGCUGGAAAGCUGCGCCAUAGAAGGUGAA
rnacentral:rRNA from 1 species